CCUACGGGAGGCAGCAGUGAGGAAUAUUGGUCAAUGGGCGUAAGCCUGAACCAGCCAAGUCGCGUGAGGGAUGAAGGUUCUAUGGAUCGUAAACCUCUUUUAUAAGGGAAUAAAGUGCGGGACGUGUCCCGUUUUGUAUGUACCUUAUGAAUAAGUAUCGGCUAACUCCGUUCCAUCAGCCGCGGUAAUACGGCGGAUCCGAGCGUUAUCCGGAUUUUUUGGGUUUAAAGGGUGCGUAGGCGGCCUUUUAAGUCAGCGGUGAAAGCCUGUGGAUCAACCAUAGAAUUGCCGUUGAAACUGGGAGGCUUGAGGAUGUUUGAGGCAGGCGGAAUGCGUGGUGUAGCGGUGAAAUGCUUAGAGAUCACGCAGAACCCCGAUUGCGAAGGCAGCCUGCCAAGCCAUGACUGACGCUGAUGCACGAAAGCGUGGGGAUCAAACAGGAUUAGAUACCCUUGUAGUC
rnacentral:rRNA from 1 species